rnacentral:rRNA from 1 species
UGGGGAAUUUUGGACAAUGGGCGAAAGCCUGAUCCAGCAAUGCCGCGUGUGUGAAGAAGGCCUUCGGGUUGUAAAGCACUUUUGUCCGGAAAGAAAUCCUUGGCUCUAAUACAGUCGGGGGAUGACGGUACCGGAAGAAUAAGCACCGGCUAACUACGUGCCAGCAGCCGCGGUAAUACGUAGGGUGCAAGCGUUAAUCGGAAUUACUGGGCGUAAAGCGUGCGCAGGCGGUUUGCUAAGACCGAUGUGAAAUCCCCGGGCUCAACCUGGGAACUGCAUUGGUGACUGGCAGGCUAGAGUAUGGCAGAGGGGGGUAGAAUUCCACGUGUAGCAGUGAAAUGCGUAGAGAUGUGGAGGAAUACCGAUGGCGAAGGCAGCCCCCUGGGCCAAAUACUGACGCUCAUGCACGAAAAGCGUGGGGAGCAAACAGGAUUAGAUACCCUGGUAGUCCACGCCCUAAAACGAUGUCAACUAGUUGUUGGGGAUUCAUUUCCUUAGUAACGUAGCUAACGCGUGAAGUUGACCGCCUGGGGAGUACGGUCGCAAAGAUUAAAACUUAAAUGAAUUGACGGGGUCAUAGCUGUUUCC